rnacentral:rRNA from 1 species
GGGGAAUAUUGCACAAUGGGGGGAACCCUGAUGCAGCGACGCCGCGUGAGGGAAGAAGGUUUUCGGAUUGUAAACCUCUGUCCUUGGUGACGAUAAUGACGGUAGCCAAGGAGGAAGCCACGGCUAACUACGUGCCAGCAGUCGCGGUAAUACGUAGGUGGCAAGCGUUGUCCGGAAUUACUGGGUGUAAAGGGAGCGUAGGCGGGAAGACAAGUUGGGAGUGAAAUGUAUGGGCUUAACCCAUAAACUGCUUUCAAAACUGUUUUUCUUGAGUGAAGUAGAGGCAGGCGGAAUUCCUAGUGUAGCGGUGAAAUGCGUAAAUAUUAGGAGGAACACCAGUGGCGAAGGCGGCCUGCUGGGCUUUAACUGACGCUGAGGCUCGAAAGCGUGGGUAGCAAAC